GCGCACCAGGCGAGAAAACUUCACACUGUGCGAAAGCACGAUGAGGGAAUCCCAAGUGCUUGCACGUAAGUGUAAGCUGUUUCUCUGUCUAAAACGCAGAGAGAGUAAGGGCUGGGUAAGACGGGUGCCAGCCGCCGCGGUAAUACCUGCAGCUCAAGUGGUGACCGUUAUUAUUGGGCCUAAAACGUCCGUAGCCGGUUUAAUAAAUGCCUGGGUAAAUUGUGUAGCUUAACUAUACGAAUUCCGGGUAGACUGUUAAACUUGAGACCGGGAGAAGUUAGAGGUACUCCUGGGGUAGAGGUGAAAUUCUGUAAUCCUAGGGGGAUCACCAGUGGCGAAGGCGUCUAACUAGAACGGGUCUGACGGUGAGGGACGAAGCCCUGGGGCGCAAACGGGAUUAGAUACCCCGUAGU
rnacentral:rRNA from 1 species